rnacentral:tRNA from 1 species
GGGGGUAUAGCUCAGUGGUAGAGCAUUUGACUGCAGAUCAAGAGGUCCCCAAUUCAAAUCUGGGUGCCCCCU